rnacentral:lncRNA from 1 species
UGUACUGAAGAUACAGCAGUAAACAGAGUGGACAUGGUCUCCCCACUAUGGAGCAUAUUUGAUGAAGACCGAUGUUACCAUACGCUAUAAAACCAGCUCCUCUGGGAGGACAUUUCCCUUCUUCGCCAUGAGUGGGGAUUGCAGCAACUUGUUCUGGCCCCUGUGCAUGGCUCAGCACUAGCAGGACAGGAGGUAGCCUCAGCGGAGCCCUAGAGAACAUCAGAAGAGGCGGCGAAGCCCCUCUGUAAAG